rnacentral:rRNA from 1 species
CCUACGGGUGGCAGCAGUGGGGGAUAUUGCACAAUGGGGGGAACCCUGAUGCAGCGACGCCGCGUGGGUGAAGGAGUGCUUCGGCAUGUAAAGCCCUAUCGGCAGGGAAGAAGCACGACGGUACCCAAGGACUAAGCCCCGGCUAACUACGUGCCAGCAGCCGCGGUAAUACGUAGGGGGCAAGCGUUGUUCGGAAUGACUGGGCGUAAAGGGUGUGUAGGCGGUGUAGCAAGUUAGAAGUGAAAUACCUAGAGCUUAACUCAGGUGCUGCUUCUAAAACUGCUAUACGUGAGUGCAGUAGAGGAAAGUGGAAUUCCUAGUGUAGCGGUGGAAUGCGUAGAUAUUAGGAGGAACAUCAGUGGCGAAGGCGACUUUCUGGACUGUAACUGACGCUGAGGCACGAAAGUGUGGGGAGCAAACAGGAUUAGAUACCCCUGUAGUC